CAGUCGCCACGGUAAUACAGAGGGUGCGAGCGUUAAUCGGAUUUACUGGGCGUAAAGCGUGCGUAGGCGGCUUUUUAAGUCGGAUGUGAAAUCCCUGAGCUUAACUUAGGAAUUGCAUUUGAUACUGGGAAGCUAGAGUAUGGGAGAGGAUGGUAGAAUUCCAGGUGUAGCGGUGAAAUGCGUAGAGAUCUGGAGGAAUACCGAUGGCGAAGGCAGCCAUCUGGCCUAAUACUGACGCUGAGGUACGAAAGCAUGGGGAGCAAACAGGAUUAGAUACCCGAGUAGUCCCUGUCUCUUAUAC
rnacentral:rRNA from 1 species